rnacentral:tRNA from 1 species
UCCCUGGUGGUCCAGUGGUUAAGAACCACCUUCUAAUACAGGGGACUCGGGUUCAACUCCUGAUCAGGGAA